UCUUGUAGUUUGAGUAAAAGAUUGUAGCAACUUUAAAGCUUGGAACAACUUUAAAGCUUCACCUUUCAGAAUGCAUGAUAGGAUUGCUGUGUUCUUCCUUAAAAUACUGUGGCAAAGUGAGUUCCUGCUCUGUGUCACUAUGUCUUCAUUUCCUCUUACAUCUCUUCCACUGUUAGAGUAGCCUAUAAAAUCUUUAGUUAUGCACCUUUUACCAUGACUCAAAUAUUCACAAAGUUAAUCAGGGCUGACAACACUUCUGCUUUGUUUCUUCCACUGAAAGGGACCACUACAAGCUAAAGACUACAACCUAAGAGAAGCCAAAGGCUUACAGCUUCAGAGGCCUGGGCUGACCUGCCCUGUGCAGGCUGCAAUGGCUGGGGAUGCCGGUGUGUGUCUAAUGAGAAGUUGCUGCAUGAGCUGUGUGACUGGGAGCCGUGCACGCUCACAUGCUAAAGGUUUUCUCCCGGCCCUGAAUCUGUGAUCCUGUUUGUAGUUCUCUAAUUGCAACCAGCAGAAGACAAGGGUGAUGUUGGUUUUUAUGACUUGUUGCUUAGCAGCGUUGAUCAACAAAAGCACAACCUUUUCUUUUGCUGUGACCUCGGUGAACCCGGGCUUGGACAGAGCUCACCAGCGGGGAACAAGGGUUUCUGAAGCCGUGUGAAACUCCUGUGCUGUGCCUUGUUAGCAGUGUCUGAGGGAAAGCAUCUCUUCUUGACCUCUUUGUUGCCUUUGCCCUUUACUCCUCUUUCUCUCUCUCUCAUCAAAUCUUAGAAGAAAGCAGGCACCGUCCUAGGAAGAUUUGGAGGACGAGAAAUACAGGGAGACGUCAACUACACUAAGAUGUAUCCUGCCUCUUUUCAGGAAAAGGAGCUAAGCUGGUUCCCAGACUGUGAUGUCAGACCCUCCUCUCAUGGAAGGAGAAGGACUUCAGCCAUCACAAGUGUUUGUAACAAACCACCUUGUCUGCAUGCCAAGAGAUUGCCACAGAGAGAAACAAAUUGCUGCUGACGACAGAGGAAAAGAGUCUUCAGAAAGUCCCUUUCAGAAAGCUUGUGAUGAGAUGAUGUGAGGGAUGUGGCAGUCUUACAUUGGAAGCAAGAUAAUUGAUUUUGAGUUUAUGACACUGCACCUGGUUACAAGAAGCAGUCUGCCCUCUGCCAGAGCAGAGCAAGAGGAGAGCAGGUCUGUGCACUUCUGCUGGGGUGGAAGUUCCUACUGGCUUUCAGUGUUUGCACAGUGAAUUCAAUGUCAACAUACACAGACAGCAGAUCUCAGAGGAGUCAGAGGCCCAUUCCCAGAAGAGUAACAAUCCAAAGUUUACACUUCCAGUGAGAUGCUGUCUGAGAAGUGCUGGAAAAAGAAAGGCUGGUCAAAGGCAGGUGUUGUGCCCAUGUGGAAGCCCAACAACUGCAUUCCUGAUGUAUUGCCUGGCAUCUACCUGGAUGGCUUUCUAGGAUAUAUUCCCAAGAGCUCUGCAAGGAGCCCAGCAGCCAGCUACAGUGUGGGCAGGAAGAGAGAGACACACCACAUCUUCUUGAGAGGCACCAUGACUUACCAAUGCUGUGUCAAAGCUUUUCCUUCAGCUAAGGAGUCAGCAGCAGAAGAGGAGCAGUGAAUUCCAACACCCAGCAACAUGUACAAGCUCAUCUUUAAGGAAAUUUCCUUGACUUCAUUUGGUUUACUUCCAAGCAAGAACAAGUGCACCAAACUACUGCUUAAGGAUCUGAUUUGUUUGAAAUGCUUGACUGAGCAGAGUGUGCAGAAGAGGAAUUAUCCCCCUUCAGAACUGACCUGGAAGGUUGCUACAAGCACAGAGCCCACAGAGUGAAGUCCUGGAGCUGUCCUUGGACUAUUUGCUGUAUUUUCUCAUCAGGAGUGAGAGACAGAGCUUUCCUUUUCAAUUUCAAAAUUGAAGAUUAAUAUCAUUGAUAAGAAGAAAAAAGUGAAGACAUUAUCUUCUUGUCUUGUAGAAGAAUCCUUUAUCCCUCCCUCCAAAUCAACUCUAAAUAUAUUUAAGGUGACUAAAAAAAUGAGAGGAAGGAAAACCAAAAGAAACCAGAAUAUAGCCAACCUUUUUAAUUAGAGUAUAUUGUACUUCCAAACUGGAUACACUAGAAAUUGGCAAUGCAACAUAAGAUGCAAAGAAAUAUACCAGUUACUGUCAAAAUGACCCUGUACAGCCUUAUAAUGCAAAAAGCUUUGUACAAUACAAAUUUUUAUUAAUGUACACAAACCUUGACAGAAUGAUAUUUGAACAUAAUACAACAAGUAAAAAAAAAAAAGAAGAAAGAAAAAAGUGCUGAGAACUUUAACUGAAUUACUGAAUGGAAAAACACGCCAGCUUUCAUUAAAGAAUGCAUAGUGAAAACCAGUAUGAAAUUACCUUUAUGGUGGGGGGAAUUUAUCAGAACUGUUGGUCAUUAAUCAGUAAGGGGAACCUCUGGAGAACAUUCUUGUCUUUAGUCUUGAACUGCAAACAAAUUAUUUUAAUAUGCAAGAGUUCUGAUAAAUAGGGUAUUUUUUUUUUCUUAAAAAAAUAAAAACCUCCUAACACACUUUUCCUUACAGAGAAAACUUCUAUAACUUGCCAGAAAGGAUGAAUUUAUCCUUUCCAAAGUGCUAAACAAAUUUCCCAGGUACACUAAACAUUGCCAGGUCAGAUACUGGUGCAGUGGAACAUGGUCAAAACACGUGGUGGUCACAUGCGGGCAGCUUGUUCUUGGAAGCUCCAGCCCCAUUCAAACUGCCCUUUGAUUUAGGUACAGUGGCCUACAAUUGUAACAUUCCUCCUUCUUCUUCCUCCUGGACAGCUGUACCUUACCUGGAGUUGGUGUGAAAAACAAGCUUUUUGAUUGGGGAGUGUUUGGUUUUCUGUGGUGUGGUCAGAGACGCGCGUGUGGAGCGUGUUUUACAGAACUGGUAGAGCUGCUGGGUACAGAUUGCAGAUUUCAUGCUGUCAAGAUAGUAACUAUUUUAUGCUCUGGGUAUUUCCCAACACAGUAUUUUCUUUUUAGUCUGUGCUCCCAGGGAGGUGUGAGCAGGAGCUCUGAUGGAGUAAAGCAUGCUGAGCAGGGCCCUGAGUUAGGUAAGUUGUUUACAGAGGUUUACGUGCAGUUUGGAGCAGCUGGGUUCUCUCUGCUGCAUAGACAGACCUGCCAAGUGCUCAUCAGAACCAAAACUGUCUGCUGGAAUGUAAACAAAUGGUGAGACUUCUCUGUCCUGUAACUAAUAAUGCCAAAGGAUAACCUGCUAUGAUUUUGGAUAUUUCCCCCUUGUAACUAGCUUCCAGUAUGGUAACAGGAGUGUGCAGAUUGGGACGUCCUCAACAUACAGGAAUAAUUUGGUCAUGACAGUGGAGAAUGUUUGGCCAUCUCAGUACAAAACAAACGUAGGGAUCUUGCAAAUAGGUUCAAGUGAUGCAAGUUUUGCAUCCAGAAAGUCUUUCUACACAAGCUUCAUUGAAGAACUAAUGAAGAUUGAGUUACACUUCUACUUGUCCAUAUGGCUAAGAGCCCUUGUGGACAAGAAAUGCCUUCCUGAACCAGGUUGUUGCUUUCCUGCUGGGGUGGUUGAAUCCCCCCAUCCCACAACAACCUGUUGAGGAAGUUCCUUCAGGACAGCAUGAGGGUGGGCAGAUAGCAUGAAAGAUGUGACUCAGGGCACCUCCAACAGUGGCUUGGACAGGGAGGGGACUGUGGCAAAAGCUAGGUCAGACACUUCUAAUAGCUGGUACAAGACAGCCAGGUCCAAUUACAAAACAGUAAUUCAGUAUGAAGGCAUUCCUGUACAUCACAUGAUCAUUCUGAAAGGCUUCACAUUUUAUACUUCCAAUUGUAAAACAGAGUGCUUUUAAUCCCAGUCUUUCUUCCCACAUAUUAAGUUGUCUAAGGAACAGAAAUCAAUUAAUGGUCAGUUAGCUUCUCUUGCAUUAAGAUCACUCCUGGCAUUUUGAGAUUAACAAAGGUUAUAUAACCAAUCUGCAUUUGCUUCUUCCUGCAAUAAAGUGCUACAUAUAACAUGUCAUUUUAAUGACCACAAGUAGGAGCAGUAAAUAAGUACAAAGUUGGGUUCCUAGCAGGACACACUCUAUCUGCCAUCAACAGAAAGGAAUAAAGUAUUACUGAUGACAUGGCGGGGAGCAAGAGGACUGUCAAAUUUGCAAGUACAAUUGAAAUACUGAGGGUAUAAAAGAGAACUUUAUGGUUCCAAAAGCAUCUUUUUAUAGCUUUAUAUUUCAAAGAAGUUACUGGUACCUUUUCAAAUAAACAGUCUUAUUAACUUCAGCCCACAAUUUUUUUUUCUUUGUUUUUUUUUUUUUUGUUUUUUUUUUUUUUUGCAAGUGAGAAACAAACUAGUGCAAGACUAAAGCACUGUGCAAAACUGCCUUUUUUUUUUUAGUCUGAGUAUUUAUACCCAGAAUUUAUCCAUACCCUUUUUAAAUCCCCUUGUUGGAUUUUUUUUUCCACCAUAGAAUUCUAGUUAUACAAGUUGUUCCUGCAAAGUAAAAGGUAACCACUGCAUAAUACAGUAUAUAUAUAUAAUAUUUAUAUGCCCUUUUAAAACAAAAGAUGUAUGCUGUAGCCCAGAGGCAGGUGUUUGUCACACCUGUGUAAGAGCUGAGAGUUGGGCCUGCUGUGUGGGUGUGUAGGCUGCACACACUGCAUGUGUGUGGACAUACACACUCUUUCCAUUGUCAGGCUCUCAUCCUGCAGUGCUGAAAGCAACUUUUUUCCUCACCAGUUCUACCCCAAAUCCUCAGACCUUGACAACUGAAUACAAGGCAUCAAACAAUUAAAGGAAGCUGCAAACAGCACUGAAAUAAUACACCAGUUCUCCCCCUGCCCCGCCCCAAACAUUGCUCCUGAACAGCUCCACGGUUCAGGGGGAGGCCGGGGGAAGGCAGGGAGCGAGUGUGUGCAAAGGGGAAAAGAAGGAUGAUUAAAGAAGCCAAUCCAAGGGAUGUGCAAAAGCAAUGUCAUGGCACACUACAGGCAGCCUCUCUUCCACGCACCCGCACGCACACAAAGCCCAAAAAUAAAAUGCAUCAAUAUGUCAUCUUACAAGUGCUGAUUGCCAAUAAGGACACUCCUUUUUUUUUUUUUUU